rnacentral:rRNA from 1 species
CCCUUAGAUGUCCGGGGCCGCACGCGCGCUACACUGAAGGAAUCAGCGUGGCUUUCUCCCUGACCCGAAAGGGUUGGGAAACCCGUUGAAUCUCCUUCGUGAUAGGGAUUGGGGCUUGAAAUUGUUCCCCAUGAACGAGGAAUUCCCAGUAAGCGCGAGUCAUAAGCUCGCGUUGAUUACGUCCCUGCCCUUUGUACACACCGCCCGUCCCUACUACCGAUUGAACGGUUUAGUGAGGGCCUCGGAUUGGUCUCGGCCCGCUCUUUACCGGGCGGCGCCGUUGGUCGAGAAGACGCUCGAACUUGAUCGUUUAGAGGAAGUAAAAGUCGUAACA